rnacentral:misc_RNA from 1 species
GAUGAAGAACGCAGCGAAAUGCGAUACUUGGUGUGAAUUGCAGAAUCCCGUGAACCAUCGAGUCUUUGAACGCAAGUUGCGCCUCAAGCCAUUAGGUUGAGGGCACGUCUGCCUGGGCGUCACAUAUCGUUGCCUGAUGCCAGUUUCCUCGUGAUGGGUGACUGUGCAGGGCGAAUGAUGGCUUCCCGUGAGCAUUGUUGCCUCAUGAUUAGUUGAAAAUUGAGUCCUUGGUAGGGAGCGCCGUGAUAGAUGGUGGUUGAGUGACGAACGAGACCCAAUCAUGUGAGACCCCUACCGAAUUUGGCCUUCAUGACCCACAUGCGUCUUUGGAACGCUCAUGACGAGACCUCAGGUCAGGCGGGGCUACCCGCUGAGUUUAAGCAUAUCAAUAAGCGGAGGA